CGGAAUUUUCAUUUCGAACGAAGAAAAUUACUUCAGUUUUAUUGAAAAUAUACUUUCUCUAUUGAAUAAUUCACAUCCCCGAGCGUAAUUUCAGUAGGCAAUGUACUUUUCAUUGAGAAUUAAAUAUUCAUCUAAUAUAUGUGUGAAAUCAUAACGUAUUAUUUCAUGUGAAGAGAAGAACUAACUGGACGAUGGGUAUUCCCCCUUAGUGAAAUGUAAAUUUUCGCCAUCUCUUUAUCGAAUGUAAAAUUACGCUUGUAUUUGUGAGUGAUUAUUGUAUUGUUCAUUCUUGUCUACAGAAGCGCAUCGGUUUGUCUGACGUGUGCAUUAGAAUAUUUUUGUUGUUGGUGAAAAUAAGUAAAGAAGGAUAAUAACAGCAAUUGAGGAAAAAAGAAAAAGAAAUAUCACUUUCAUUUCUCUUUCCGAAUAAUACCACCAUGAGCAAGAAAGAAAAUGUGUUAAUUUGAAGAAUGGUUUUUUUAUUUUGUACUGUUAUUUGACUUUUUUGAAAAUGAAAAAAAAAUGUUUUGUAGAAUUUCAUUUCAAGAAUGUAUAUGAACUUAUUUUGUAUAUACACAUUUUUUUAAUAUAUCAAUGUGUAAUA